CUUAAAUUGAAGAGUUUGAUCAUGGCUCAGAUUGAACGCUGGCGGCAGGCCUAACACAUGCAAGUCGAGCGGAAAC
rnacentral:rRNA from 1 species